GCGGGCGUGGCGGAAUGGUAGACGCAACAGACUUAAAAUCUGUCGAUUGAAAGAUCGUGCCGGUUCGAGUCCGGCCGCCCGCACCA
rnacentral:tRNA from 1 species